ACGAUCCUUUGCUGAUGACUUACAGAUUAGAUCCUAGUUUUCCCUUGUUGGUGAAAGCUACCAGGAAGAUAACAAGGGACUGGAUAAGGACUGUGGCUAAUGUAUCCUUGAGUAAGGGUAGUUCUACCUAUCUUGGAGGAGGAAGCCAUGUCUCAAUCCAGCUGUUUUAGACUACUACUGGUUAUCUCCAACCUCCCUUUUAUGGAAAGAUGGAAUAAAUGACCAAAUUGUAGCCCACCCAUCUGUGAGGACAUCUUCCAGUGAAAGAGAAGUCUCUAUCUCAGGAAAACAGAGUUCAAGAAUUAUCCCAGAAGGGCAUUAUCUAUACAAGUGUAGUGACUUUCAAGAGAAAGAGAAGUUGCUCCAUCCAUUAAUGUUUUAGUAUUUACGUGAUUCCUGAGAAUGCUAUCUUGCCUCCUUUAUUCAGAAAAUGCUGUUUGUGCUUAUAUAGCUACACUAUUGUUGGGGAGGGGGGGUGGAGUUAUGAUGUUAUUAAUAUGUUUUUGAGUUAUUAAUCAGGUUGCUUUAUUUGUGUGCACUGCUGACAAAUUGAAGAAAAAAUAUUUUAGUUGUUGGAGUGAUUUAUUUAAGUAUUCUUAAUCUUUUGCAAUGACAUAUUGGUUCUGCACUAACAUUAUAAACAGGUCAUUAAGAUUAUUACAGAAGAAAUCAACCAGUACAUGUUUUUCUAAAUGUAGCAUAUCGACAAAUAUUAUCAUAAGUUGUAGACAGUUUGAUUUUAUUGCAGUUCAGAAGCCAAACUCACUCCUUUCACUAGUUCUGCUGAAUUUCCUCAUUUUGAAAUGGUGGAUAUGGAGAGAAGAGUGCCAUCUUCUGAAGGAACAGAGUUAUAGCAAAUCAUAAUAUCUACAUUUCUCUUUCGGACAGAACAGGUGUCUUUGAUGAAAGAGAUACAUUGUUUAUUCAUUUUAUAUAUCACUGAUAGGUCUCUCAGGAUAGAAUGUUUUAGGAUGACAAGAAGAGGAACCACAUGUCUUCUUGACCUAAGAAAUUUACCCAGUAAACUUCAUGGUUAAAUUAAUGAGUCCUUAACAGAGGGGCUUCAAACUGAAACAUAGUGGAUUUAGAACGCUAAAUGAGCUUAGUCCGUAUCUAAGGAAAAUAAUUGAAAUGUUUUGGACUACAGUUCUGACUGAGACAGCCAGUUUGGUGUAGUGGUUAAGGUACCAGGAUAGAAACCAGGAGACUGUGAGUUCUAGUCCGCCUAGGCACAAAGCCAACUGAGUGGACUUGGUCCAGUCCCUUUCUCUCAGCCCUAGGAAGGAGAGAACCACUUCUGAAAUCUUGCCAAGAAAACUACAGGGACUUGUCCAGGCAGUCACAGAAAUCAACACAGACUCAAAGACACACACACACACACACACACACACACAAUAGUCAUGAAUCCAGUUAACAUUUUAGGAACUAAGAGGAAUAUGUUUAUAGAAUCUCAAGAGUGAGCUGAUAAGCAGCUAAGUGGGAUUCACAAGAGCUGAAGAGGACACUUACAUGAAGUUAAGAGGAGCUUCAGAGGUAUUAUCUGCACUAAGGGUAAAGGUAAAGGUUUCCCUUGACAUUAAGUCCAGUCGUGUCCGACUCUAGGGGGCGCUGCUCACCUCUGUUUCAAAGCCGAAGAGCCGGCGUUUGUC